ACAACAGUUGGAAACGACUGCUAAUACCGCAUGACGCUUCUUGGGGGCAUCCCCGAGAAGUCAAAGCUUUAUGUGCUGAAAGAUGGCUUCGCGUCUGAUUAGCUAGAUGGCGGGGUAACGGCCCACCAUGGCGACGAUCAGUAGCCGGUCUGAGAGGAUGAACGGCCACAUUGGGACUGAGAUACGGCCCAGACUCCUACGGGAGGCAGCAGUGGGGAAUAUUGGGCAAUGGGGGAAACCCUGACCCAGCAACGCCGCGUGAAGGAAGAAGGCCUUCGGGUUGUAAACUUCUUUUACCAGGGACGAAGGACGUGACGGUACCUGGAGAAAAAGCAACGGCUAACUACGUGCCAGCAGCCGCGGUAAUACGUAGGUUGCAAGCGUUGUCCGGAUUUACUGGGUGUAAAGGGCGUGUAGGCGGAGAUGCAAGUCGGGAGUGAAAUCCAUGGGCUCAACCCAUGAACUGCUUUCGAAACUGUAUCCCUUGAGUAUCGGAGAGGCAAGCGGAAUUCCUAGUGUAGCGGUGAAAUGCGUAGAUAUUAGGAGGAACACCAGUGGCGAAGGCGGCUUGCUGGACGACAACUGACGCUGAGGCGCGAAAGCGUGGGGAGCAAACAGGAUUAGAUACCCUGGUAGUCCACGCUGUAAAC
rnacentral:rRNA from 1 species